UUUUUUAUGAAGCAAUUAAGAAAAAUUACAUUGGAAAUGCUCCGGCAAUGAUCAGUGAUCUGAUUUGCACCCAGCAAAUGAAAAUCCUAGCAAUAUUUCGCUUCACUUAUGCUUUACUAGCAUUUUGGGGAUCAAUACUAGCCAGUAAUACAUAGAAAACUUUGCAUGAAGCAUAACUGGAUUUUUAAGAACCAAACCAGAACAAUGACAAUAUAUUGUUGGCAGUCCUGCAUUAGAAUGCUGCACAAAAGUGCGUUGAGUUAUCCUUCCAUCAACAUCUGCACGCGGGGCUACAGUAAAAUAAAUGAUAAGAGGCAUCCAAAUGUGACCGCGCUGGGAAGAACAGCCAUCCUGUAUUUGCCUCCACCAUUCAGUGCCAUCGCCUUGUGCCUCCAAGACGUGAUUCUUUCCUGUGUUCUGUUACUGUUCAAAGCAGAGAGCAAGGAGUAAAGUGCAUUUCUAGAUUGUUGCAUCAGUCUGCUGGGAGUUAUGGCUGGAACAUGCUUCAGAAAUGUGUCCGACACAUCAGAAGAAAAUCUGUUUUUAAUCUGCAGUGGGACUUUACUUUUCUUGAAAUGAAUCUAAAAAAAACCCUUACUGGCUUAUUCAAAUAAAACAUUCCUCUUUUCCGAGGUGAAUCCAUUCCAAGAAGCAUAUAACGAAAAGAUUCCAAAGAUCUGUCUCGUUCCUUACUUCUCCCUAAAAGUCAGAUUAUUUACGUAUAAAUUAGUCAGAGGCACAAAUACCAUCCCGUGACAGAAGCUGCCAUCUUGGUUUGCUUAAUUCUUAAAAAUUAGGCACAGUUGAGAAGAUAAAAAGUGUAUUUUCUGUAUUUGCUGACAAAAAGCAAAGAAAAAAAAGACUCUGGAUUAUUUCCACAAACUACUGUGUUUCUCAUUUAGCCCUAGCAUCUCUGGAAAUGUUUAAAGAUAAUUAUACUUUGGAACCUGGGAUACCAAUGGGACCGGGAAAUAUUAACAAUUGGAAGGUAGACCAUUGUUGCACAAAUGUACCAUAAAUUAAAAAUUAGGCUAAUGUCACAAUGGCAACUUUUAAGCAGCAAUGAAAGACACUGGGGAUUCCGCCCUGAAAUUGGAAUAUAUUACCAACUAUUGAAGAAUGCAUUUGAGAGUUACCUAUGCAGACUGAUUAGGUCCCAAGAGAACCUUUAACCAAACAAAACCAUUCCAGGAUCUCAGAAGUCAUGCUCAGACCUCCCAAAACAUGGCAUGAGCACCUGUAUGUCUCUGGAAGGAACACUGGGAUACAGUGCAAGAAAUAUGGCACCCUCUGUUGUCCCUGAGAUACAGAACAGCAAAGUAGCUUAUCUGAAUCCUGGACUUCACUUGGGGUAGGUACAUGGGCCAAAUGACUAGAUCAUAAUCUAAUCACUGGGGUAAUUGCUUGAAUGAUCUGUUACGGGGCAGUAUAUAUGAGUCACUUAAAUUAAUUACAGAGUAAUUAUGCUGCAGGCCUAGUCAUUGUUAGCAACCAUUGACUGGUCAGCUGCUUCUAAGCAAACAUCUUAUUGGAUGUUAUGGUUGACUCCAACUGGGCAAACUUGGUUUCUUUUGCAUAUGGCAGUAGGGAGACUCCCUGACCCAACCGUUCACCCAUUAGAGCAGGGGUCCAACCUUUUUUACCUGUGUGCAACAUUCAUUUGUAAAAAGAGUUGAGGAGCAAUGCAACCUUGAACAUUUUUUCUGGGGGUGCCAAAUAAGGACUGUGAUUUGGUAGCCCCCUAUGUGGUCUGUCAGCUUAUAGGGGGUUUUGUUUCGCAGUACACCAAGUUUUUAUGCAACAAACUUGCCUCCAAGCCGAGAAUUCAAACAUAAGCACCUGCUUUUAAGACACUAGA